rnacentral:rRNA from 1 species
GGUAAUGGCUUACCAAGGCAACGAUGCGUAGCCGACCUGAGAGGGUGAUCGGCCACACUGGGACUGAGACACGGCCCAAACUCCUACGGGAGGCAGCAGUGGGGAAUAUUGCACAAUGGGGGAAACCCUGAUGCAGCAACGCCGCGUGAAGGAAGACGGUUUUCGGAUUGUAAACUUCUGUUCUUAGUGAAGAUAGUGACGGUAGCUAAGGAGCAAGCCACGGCUAACUAC